AGCUCCAAUAGCGUAUAUUAAAGUUGUUGCAGUUAAAAAGCUCGUAGUUGGAUCUUGGGUCCAGGCCCGGGGUCCGUCGCGAGAUGUGUACCCUUGGGAUUGGAGCCUUGCCUCCUCGGAACCCGGCUAUUCUCUUCAUUGAGUGUGGCGGGAGAAGAGGACGUUUACUUUGAAGAAAUUAGAGUGUUCAAAGCAGGCGAUUCGCUUGAAUAAUGGUGCAUGGAAUAAUGGAAUAGGACCUACGUCUUAUUCUGUUGGUCUUUGAGACAUAGGUAAUGAUUAAGAGGGACAGCCGGGGGCGUUCGUAUUGCGCCGUGAGAGGUGAAAUUCUUGGAUCGGCGCAAGACGCACUACAGCGAAAGCAUUCGCCAAGAAUGUUUUCA
rnacentral:rRNA from 1 species